rnacentral:SRP_RNA from 1 species
UUGAUUUUAUAAUUAUAGUAUAGUAUAAUAAUUUUUCGAAAAGAGUGCUUUUGCGUCUUUUAUGUAGCGUAUGGGCCCUGUGCGACGGGAUGCUACGAACCUUGUCAGGCGGGGAACCGAGCAGCAAUAAGUGGAUUAUUCUGUGUGCCUCAGACAAGUCUGUACGUUACAUAAAGGGCGUAAAAGCAUUUUUUAAAACAA